UACGUAGGCGGAAAAUUAAGUCAGUAGUGAAAUCCUGCAGCUCAACUGUAGAACUGUUAUUGAUACUGGUUUUCUUGAAUGUAGUUGAGGUAGGCGGAAUGUGUAAUGUAGCGGUGAAAUGCUUAGAUAUUACACAGAACACCGAUUGCGAAGGCAGCUUACUAAGCUAUGAUUGACGCUGAGGUACGAAAGCGUGGGGAGCGAACAGGAUUAGAUACCCUGGUAGUCC
rnacentral:rRNA from 1 species